rnacentral:rRNA from 1 species
UACGGAGGGGGCAAGCGUUAUCCGGAUUCACUGGGUUUAAAGGGUGCGUAGGAGGGCAGGUAAGUCAGUGGUGAAAUCCCCGAGCUUAACUUGGGAACUGCCGUUGAUACUAUCUGUCUUGAAUAUUGUGGAGGUGAGCGGAAUAUGUCAUGUAGCGGUGAAAUGCUUAGAUAUGACAUAGAACACCAAUUGCGAAGGCAGCUCGCUACACAAAUAUUGACUCUGAGGCACGAAAGCGUGGGGAUCAAACAGG